GGCUGGGUAGCUCAGUUGGUGAGAGCGCACGACUCAUAAUCGUGAGGUCGCGAGUUCGAAUCUCGCUCCAGCUA
rnacentral:tRNA from 1 species